rnacentral:rRNA from 1 species
CAGCAGCCGCGGUAAUACGAAGGUCCCGAGCGUUGUUCGGAAUCACUGGGCGUAAAGGGAGCGUAGGCGGCGCGGUAAGUCAGAUGUGAAAUCCCGGGGCUCAACCCCGGAACCGCGUCCGAUACUGCCGUGCUCAGAGGAUUGGAGAGGUAGCUGGAAUUCUUGGUGUAGCAGUGAAAUGCGUGGAUAUCAAGAGGAACACUCGUGGCGAAAGCGAGCUACUGGAUAACUCCUGACGCUGAGGCUCGAAGGCCAGGGUAGCGAAAGGGAUUAGAUACCCCUGUAGUCCUGGCAGUAAACGGUGCACGCUUGGUGUGAGGGGAAUCGACCCCCCUCGUGCCGGAGCCAACGCGUUAAGCGUGCCGCCUGGGAAGUACGGUCGCAAGACUAAAACUCAAAGGAAUUGACGG